rnacentral:rRNA from 1 species
UACGAAGGGGGCUAGCGUUGCUCGGAAUCACUGGGCGUAAAGGGGGCGUAGGCGGGUUUUUAAGUCAGAGGUGAAAUCCUGGAGCUCAACUCCAGAACUGCCUUUGAUACUGGGAAUCUUGAGUAUGGAAGAGGUGAGUGGAACUGCGAGUGUAGAGGUGAAAUUCGUAGAUAUUCGCAAGAACACCAGUGGCGAAGGCGGCUCACUGGUCCAUAACUGACGCUGAGGCACGAAAGCGUGGGGAGCAAACAGG